GUCUACGACACCGAGAAUGCGAACCAGAACGAGAAGUUUGAGGCGGACCUCAAGAAGGAGAUCAAGAAGCUGCAGCACUACUAGGACCAGAUCAAGACCUGGAUUCAGUCCAGCGAGAUCAAGGACAAGAAGGUGACCCCUCUGUAAAUAGAUCAAGGACCAUGAUCUGUUUGGUGCCGUUUUCGAUACCUUGGUAUGGGAUGAAGUGAAGAGUGCGGAGUCACUUGAUCUUCAGUACUCGCGUGUGCUCUACCGACCGCCAUGACGAGCGUUCACCGUUUUGCCGCCUUCUUCCACCUCCGCCUCUUCCCACCUCUUCUUUGUUGGGUGUAGUCAAAAUCCGUGACAACAAGCUAGCUAGCUAGCAACCAUGUCUCUUGCCAUGUCCAUAUAUAUACAUCCUUCUCCAUUGUAGAUCCAUUGUAUUUGUAUGCUGCUAUAUUAUGUCAAGUUGAGUGAAGCAAACAUAUCAUUGUGUGUGUGUUAUCAUCUCCUAAUGCUCCUACUAGCUUUAUAACGUUGGAAAAUGAUCUGACUCCUCUCACUUGACCUAGGAGGAACACCACUGAUGAUGAGAGCAGAUCAUUUCCCUCAAUAGAUUAGCAUCAUUCCAUUCUUACUUUGUAGUAGAAUUGGUAGUGAUAGAGUGGGUGAAUCUAUGUGAUGUAGAGAUACACUAAGAUCAUGCAAAAAUAUAUAUUAUUUCUGCUAAUGCUUACUAGUGAAUUCAAUUCUGCCUAUUUGAAGGUCCAACACUUGUGCAUACUGAUUUGUGUCCUUUGUGAUUUGGGGAAAGGAAAUAGAAAGGAAAUAGUAAUGUUGCCAAUUGCUGUAGUGGUUUGCGAUUCGGAUCAACUAAACUGAAAGUGAGAUACUGAGAUGUGGAUCACACUAGUACUAUUUCAAUAUUUCUUGCUUGCUUGUUUGCUUCUUCUUUCCGCUGAAGCAGGCGAGCUGAUUUUCUUCUUUUGGUUUCUGCAGCAAUUGGAGGAGGAGUUGGUGUCGAGGACUGGACCGGAUGUGCCUUGAUGCAUGAUCUACAACGCCCAUGAUCUCAGGUGCGUGAUCUGCAGCGCCCUUGCUUGUUUGUUACUAAAUUCAGUUAUAGCAAGUUAAGCUUCAGACUGCAUAAGAAAAGAAUAAAGACAGAUUCCUAAAUUCAAUUAGAACUAGUUGAGUACUUGGAGUAUAUUCAGUGCCCUUGCUUGUUUGUUCUGACUAAAUUCUGUUGCCUCGCAUGACCAUGAGCGGAGGCUGGAGCAGAUCUGAAGGGCGUUCCAGGGCCUCGAGGGCUCCCACGUCUGUCCCUUCUAGUAUGCUUCGACGGGAGCAUCUGCGGAGAGGGUCAGGGAGUGGGUCUCAGAGCUGGCUCAUCCACUUGGAGGUUAUGAGAUAUGCUGCUGGAGAGAUGCCGUUAGCAAACUGGAAGGGCUGCAACCAAAUCCAAUCGACAUCAUGGCAGUGGUCUCUGAAUAUCUAAGCUAGUGAUAAUCUUUUCAGCGAUUCCUUUUUUGUUUAGCCUUCUUGUAGUGUAUAUUAGUAGUCGCUGGAGCUGUGAUGGUGAUCUUUUUUUUGACUGGCUGUUUGUUAUAGAUGACCAAUCUUUUAGUUGCCGCUUCUUAUGUAUAGAUAAUGUGAUGAAGAUCAAACUGCAACAAAUGAUGUAUGAUUGUACAGAGAAACAAAUGUUGCUUUGAUGGCAAAAUUGAAAAAAAAACUGAACUAUU